UUAUCGGUAGCUUAGUUGGUAGAGCAUUCGUCUAACAUACGAAAGUCGUGGGUUCGAAUCCCACCUGAGCAA
rnacentral:tRNA from 1 species